CACGUAGGGUGCGAGCGUUGUCCGGAAUUAUUGGGCGUAAAGAGCUCGUAGGCGGUCCGUCACGUCGGAUGUGAAAUUCCAGGGCUCAACCCUGGACCUGCAUUCGAUACGGGCGGACUAGAGUUCGGUAGGGGAGACUGGAAUUCCUGGUGUAGCGGUGAAAUGCGCAGAUAUCAGGAGGAACACCAAUGGCGAAGGCAGCACUCUGGGACGUGACUGACGCUGAGACGCGAAAGCGUGGGGAGCAAACAGG
rnacentral:rRNA from 1 species